UUCUGCUAACCUCCUCUCAGCUUGCCCAUCUGGUGACUCUGGUCUACUGAGAGACAUCACUGACAGUGAUGGCCCAUAGAAAGGAUGGGAGGAACAGCUUAGUUACAGAGGUUAGCGUUGCCUUCUUAGAGAUCAGUAGGAUACUUUAUCCCCAAGAUACUGCAGGUUAGUAUUACAUUCCUCUCAUUCCUCACUCUAUUUCUUUGUAGCUGUCAUAAUUAUGGUCAGAAAAAUUUGAUGGCUUUUUUGUUUGUUUACUGAAAUAACACAGAUUAAAAACUAAGUUAAGUUUCACCUAAUUUCACAGUGUUUUGAACUGAAUACAUCCAUGAGAAACCUCUCACAAAGUAUUUUCUUGGCUGCAGUACAUCACCUCAUAAGGACUUAAUUCACUUUAAUGUGACAUGUGCGCAACAUCUGAGGGAAAACAAAGUACUUCCUGCAGAGUAGUCCAUAAAAGAGCUCAUAACCAGAACUCCCACUAGCUAUCUCAGGAGCAUGCUUUGUCAAUGUAUUUCAGGGAUGUUGUUUCUUUUGUGGUUUUCUUCCCAAAAAGACUAGACUUGCUUGAGGUGACCAGAAGGAGUAGGCACAGGGUGGAGGCACCCUGGGCUCACGUAAGGGCCAGCCUCCUAGACUGCUUCCUGAGAAGAAGUGCUGUAUGGCCAGUGAUCCCCUUCACUAGGACAUCUCAGCUUCUGUGAUCUCAAGUAGUGAGACUGACAUUCUGCCAGUCCUGUUAUGGUAGAGGCUGUUCUACAGUGUACCCCGUCGUGAGAAAAAUAAUGUUUAUCUUGCAUCCAACACUGCUACCUCAGCUAAGGAAGUAAAGUGAGAUUACAGGAUCUGCUUUAUGGGUAUAACUGAAAAUAAAUUCCCUUGAAGCUGAAGAUGGCAAAGAUUUAAGGAGACGGAUUGCCUGACAGCUGAGAAAAGCAACAACUUUUUGAGAUUAUGAG
rnacentral:lncRNA from 1 species